CAACAUCGCGGUAAGGAGUAGCGUAGAGCUUCCUCAGACAGAGGAAUUGCCUGAUGAGGAGCCAGGGGUUGUCCGACACUUCGGUGGGGGGAGUGUUACACGGAGGGGGAGCCAAGUCAGGGCAAGCAUUGUUGCGGAAUAUUUCAGCUGAAUGAUCACACAAACUGUGGACGACCACAACGGCAACGAACACAACAGGCACCUUCUCAGCCCCCUUCCCCUUCUCACUCCCCCACCACUUCCCAGUCCCCCUCCCAUUCUCACUCCACCUCCACUUCCCAAUCCCCCUCAGCUUCCCAGUCCCCCUCAGCUUCCCAAUCCCCCUCAGCUUCCCAGUCCCCCUCAGCUUCCCAGUCCCCCUCAGCUUCCCAGGCACCCUCAGCUUCCCAGGCCCCCUCAGCUUCCCAGGCCCACUCCACUUUCCACUCCCCUUCUCAGGCCACCUCUCCUUCUCUUUCUGUGACCCCUUCUCCUCCUUCCCAUUCCCCUUCUCCUUCUACUUCCAACUCCCCUUCUCAGCCCCCCUCACCCUCUAAUGGCCUAACAUUCUCUCCGCCCCCCUCGCCCUCUCAAUCAGACCCUCCCUCAGAAAUUAGAUUACCAAACCCUCCUCCUUACCCCAUCUCUCCUCCUUCCCCAAACCCUCCUCCUUCACUCAUCCAGCCUCCUUCCCCCAUCCCUCCUCCUUCCCCAAUCCCUCCUUCUU